rnacentral:rRNA from 1 species
UGGCUCAGAUUGAACGCUGGCGGCAGGCCUAACACAUGCAAGUCGAGCGGUAGCACAAGAGAGCUUGCUCUCUGGGUGACGAGCGGCGGACGGGUGAGUAAUGUCUGGGAAACUGCCUGAUGGCGGGGGAUAACUAGUGGAAACGGUAGCUAAUACCGCAUAACGUCGCAAGACCAAAGUGGGGGACCUUCGGGCCUCACGCCAUCAGAUGUGCCCAGGUGGGAUUAGCUGGUAGGUGGGGUAACGGCUCACCUAGGCGACGAUCCCUAGCUGGUCUGAGAGGAUGACCAGCCACACUGGAACUGAGACACGGUCCAGACUCCUACGGGAGGCAGCAGUGGGGAAUAUUGCACAAUGGGCGCAAGCCUGAUGCAG